GACGAACGCUGGCGGCGUGCUUAACACAUGCAAGUCGAACGAUGAUCCCCCGCUCGCGGGGGUGAUUAGUUGCGAACGGGUGAGUAAUACGUGAGUAACCUGCCCUUGACUCUGGGAUAAGCCUGGGAAACCGGGUCUAAUACUUGAUACUACUUCCUGCCGCAUGGUGGGGGGUGGAAAGGGUUUUACUGGUUUUGGAUGGGCUCACGGCCUAUCAGCUAGUUGGUGGAGUAACGGCUGACCAAGGGGACGACGGGUAGCCGGCCUGAGAGGGUGACCGGCGACAGUGGAAGUGAGACGCGGCCCAGGCUCUGACGCGCGGCAGCAGCGCGUACGGUAGGACGCUGGGGGGAAGCUUGACCAAGCGGCGGAGGCCUGAUGCAGCAGCGCCGCGUGAGGGAUGACGGCCUUAUGGUUGUAGACCACUUUCAGCAGGGAAGAAGCCACAAGUGACGGUACCUAAAGAAGAAGCGCCGGCUAACUACGUG
rnacentral:rRNA from 1 species